rnacentral:sRNA from 1 species
UGCUCAGGCCUGGCCGGACAGACUCUCUUCCAGAGCCCAGAAGAGGGCUGGCAGCUGUACACCUCAGCCCAGGCCCCUGACGGGAAAUGCAUCUGCACGGCCGUGAUCCCAGCGCAGAGUACCUGCUCUCGAGACGGCAGGAGUCGGGAGCUGCGGCAACUGAUGGAGAAGGUCCAGAACGUCUCCCAGUCCAUGGAGGUCCUUGAGUUGCGGACGUAUCGCGACCUCCAGUAUGUACGCGGCAUGGAGACCCUCAUGCGGAGCCUGGAUGCGCGGCUCCGGGCAGCUGAUGGGUCCCUCUCGGCCAAGAGCUUCCAGGAGCUGAAGGACAGGAUGACGGAACUGUUGCCCCUGAGCUCGGUCCUGGAGCAGUACAAGGCAGACACGCGGACCAUUGUACGCUUGCGGGAGGAGGUGAGGAAUCUCUCCGGCAGUCUGGCGGCCAUUCAGGAGGAGAUGGGUGCCUACGGGUAUGAGGACCUGCAGCAACGGGUGAUGGCCCUGGAGGCCCGGCUCCACGCCUGCGCCCAGAAGCUGGGUAUGCCUUGGCCCUUGACCCUGACCCCUGAUCUCUGACUGCCACACCCAACUCC